GAUGAACGCUGGCGGCGUGCCUAAUACAUGCAAGUCGAGCGAACAGACGAGGAGCUUGCUCCUCUGACGUUAGCGGCGGACGGGUGAGUAACACGUGGAUAACCUACCUAUAAGACUGGGAUAACUUCGGGAAACCGGAGCUAAUACCGGAUAAUAUAUUGAACCGCAUGGUUCAAUAGUGAAAGACGGUUUUGCUGUCACUUAUAGAUGGAUCCGCGCCGCAUUAGCUAGUUGGUAAGGUAACGGCUUACCAAGGCAACGAUGCGUAGCCGACCUGAGAGGGUGAUCGGCCACACUGGAACUGAGACACGGUCCAGACUCCUACGGGAGGCAGCAGUAGGGAAUCUUCCGCAAUGGGCGAAAGCUUGACGGAGCAACGCCGCGUGAGUGAUGAAGGUCUUCGGAUCGUAAAACUCUGUUAUUAGGAAGAACAAAUGUGUAAGUAACUAUGCACGUCUUGACGGUACCUAAUCAGAAAGCCACGGCUAACUACGUG
rnacentral:rRNA from 1 species